UUGCACGCUGGCGGCAUGCUUUACCCAUGCAAGUCGCGCGGUAACAGGCCUUCGGGUGCUGACGAGUGGCGACCGGGUGAGUAAUGCAUCGGAACGUACCCAGAGGUGGGGGAUAACGCAGCGAAAGCUGUGCUAAUACCGCAUGUGAUCUGAGGAUGAAAGCGGGGGACCGAGCAGCAAUGUUUGGCCUCGCGCCUUUGGAGCGGCCGAUGUCGGAUUAGCUAGUUGGUGGGGUAAAGGCCUACCAAGGCGACGAUCCGUAGCUGGUCUGAGAGGACGACCAGCCACACUGGGACUGAGACACGGCCCAGACUCCUACGGGAGGCAGCAGUGGGGAAUUUUGGACAAUGGGCGCAAGCCUGAUCCAGCAAUGCCGCGUGCGGGAAGAAGGCCUUCGGGUUGUAAACCGCUUUUGGCAGGAACGAAACGGUGUCCGCUAAUACCGGGCGCUAAUGACGGUACCUGCAGAAUAAGCACCGGCUAACUACGUG
rnacentral:rRNA from 1 species